rnacentral:rRNA from 1 species
AACGAACGCUGGCGGCGUGCUUAAGACAUGCAAGUCGAACGAGAAAGCCACUUCGGUGGUGAGUACAGUGGCGCACGGGUGAGUAACGCGUGGGUAAUCUGCCCUUUCGUCUGGAACAACUGCGGGAAACUGCAGCUAAUUCCAAAUAAGACCACGACGACCCUGGUCGAUGUGGAAAAAGGUGGCCUCUCCUUGGAAGCUAUCGCGAGAGGAUGAGCCCGCGUUCCAUUAGCUAGUUGGUGGGGUAAAAGCCUACCAAGGCUCCGAUGGAUAGCUGAUCUGAGAGGAUGAUCAGCCACACUGGGACUGAGACACGGCCCAG